rnacentral:rRNA from 1 species
UGAGCAAUCUGCCCUUCUCAUCGGAAUAAGCGUUGGAAACGACGUCUAAUGCCGAAUACGACCUCCUUUCACAUGAUCGGAGGUGGAAAGCUCCGGCGGAGAAGGAUGAGCUCGCGGCCUAUCAGCUAGUUGGUGUGGGUAAUGGCCCACCAAGGCGACGACGGGUAGCCGGCCUGAGAGGGCGAUCGGCCACACUGGGACUGAGACACGGCCCAGACUCCUAGGGAGG